rfam:Lachnospiraceae bacterium 28-4 genomic scaffold acPFn-supercont1.1, whole genome shotgun sequence.
UUGCGUACAAUCAGGAAUUUCAUUUAUGAAAUGGUUCAAAAUCCCAGGGGGAAAUUGCCAAGGAGGGCAAUUUCAGGAAACAUAAGGCAUGGAUGCCUUUUGUUUCCGCCCCGGCCCGUUUCCACAACAACCACCCAUUUCAUUAAUGAAAUCUGAUUGGAAGCCC